rnacentral:tRNA from 1 species
UCCCUAGUGGCUCAGACGGUAAAGCAUCUGCCUGCAACGCGGGAGACCCAGGUUCGAUUCCUGGGUCGGGAA